rnacentral:rRNA from 1 species
UGCGUAGGCGGACCUUUAAGUCAGUGGUGAAAGUUUGCGGCUCAACCGUAAAAUUGCCAUUGAAACUGAAGGUCUUGAGUGUAAAUAAGGUAGGCGGAAUGUGUUGUGUAGCGGUGAAAUGCUUAGAUAUAACACAGAACACCAAUUGCGAAGGCAGCUUACUGGGAUACAACUGACGCUGAGGCACGAAAGCGUGGGGAUCAAACAGGAUUAGAUACCCUGGUAGUCCACGCAGUAAACGAUGAAUACUAACCGUAUGCGAUAUACUGUAUGUGGUAAAGCGAAAGCGUUAAGUAUUCCACCUGGGGAGUACGUUCGCAAGAAUGAA